AUGUUACCACGUAGAUUUUGGCCGCCUAGUCUAGGGCCCAUUCAUUUUAAUGAGAGGGUUCAAUUUCCUGACUUUUUUUCGAAACCACACGUGAGAGCAUUGCAAAAGGUGAAUUUAUUUAUUAUUAUUUUUAUUGUUAUAAUUAUUAGCUUUUUUAUCUCUGUAAGGUUGUUAGUUUAUUUGUUAUCGUUAUUAGCUUUUAUUUAUUUGUUUUGUAUCAUUAUUGUUAUCUUUAUUUUAUUAUUUGUUUUGUAUCAUUAUUGUUAUCUUUAUUUUAUUUGUUAUCAUUAUU